GAUGGAGCCAGCAGGGAGCACAGAGGGCUCCAGGACUGCAGCUAUGCCAGGCCUUGGAACCAAUUGCAGAGCCUCCACUUUUGCCCCAGCUGCAUGGAAGACUUUGAGGACCGCCAGAGCCUGAUGGGAGCCAGCAGAGAGAAGCUGAAUGGCAGCAGCAGGAGCUGUGAACGGGGACCUGCUGCUGCCAGCCUGGAGAGAGCUCGGAUGUCCCAUCUGCUGUCCCUGUCCAGGAGAGCUGCUCUGCAAGGGAGGAGGAGACCGAGGGAGAGGCUUUGAAGAUGGGGCAGCUGGGACCCCUCUGCUUCAUGUGCUGUUUGAAGAUAUACAGACUUGCAUGCAGGCAUUGAUAUUUACAUCGAUAUUUUCAUACGUAGCUUGCUAUUGUAUCGGUAUAUUUCUCUACGUAUGUUGUUAUAUUUAUUAAUGUACUCUGUAUAUAUGUACGUAUAGAUAUAUACAUACAGGUUUGCAGUUCCGUGUUUGUGUAAUUAUGUAUCUAGUUUUUUAUGUUUGUUGUAAUAUCUGUGUUCAGUUAUUUUUGCCGUAUGCGUUCAGCUUUGUAGGUGUUUAUAUUUAUUGAUGUAGUUUUCAGUAUAUGUCUUUUUAAAUUACUGUAUUGGUAUUUCUAUUAGUAGAUAUGCCUAUUUUUAUAUUUUUUUAUGUAUAUUGACCUAUUUCUAUUAAAUGUUACACAUGUCUCCAGAUGUAUAGCUGUCUAUUUGUAUGGAUGCAGUUGGAUUGCUGUUUAUAUUGCUACAGCAAUAUUUGUAUAUUUUUAGAUAGUUGUGGUUAAUAUAUCUAUUUUUAUAUAUAUUGUAUAUUUACUUUAAUAUUUAAUCUAUAUUUACAUCUGUAUAUUUUUUUAGUUAUAUAUAUAUUUUUUAAUAUGUGCUUAUAUGUAUGUAUUUAAAUAGUUUUAAAGAUGUAUAGAGGGUGUAGUUGCAUAACUCUAUCUAGUGAAUUCUUAGUUUAAGGCUAUUUUGAGAUAGAAUGCUUCUUUUUGUAUUUCUAUAAGGGGUCUACGUUUGUAGUAAUAUGUAAUAAAUUAAGCUGUUAAACGCCUAAUUGAUCUUUGUGUAUCGUGAGUUGUGUAUAGUAGAGGCUAGCAAUAAAUCAAGUUUGGUUAAGUGAACUUGGUAUUUGUAUAUUUUUACAUAGACUGGUUGUAAUAAUCUAAUAAAUUGCUGGGUUUACCUUAAA